ensembl:lncRNA
UCCCACAAUGAAUGAGACAAUAUUGCAUUACAAGAAGUCUGGUUCAAAUUGACAUUAUAAUUUAGCGUAUCGAAAGGUAAAAAGAGCCACCUUAGAAAGUAUGAUGUAUAGUUGUGACAUUAUAAAUAUAUUAAUGAGAAUAAUUCAUAGCAAUGUUUGGUGGCCAUACAGUGUUUAUAACUCAAAAUGUUUUGGCUAUUACAGAGAUACAACAUUAAGAAGUUGAAGGUGUUACCAGAAUGGAUACUAACAUAACCAAAGAUCAGACGGAACCAUGAAACAAAUGUCAGAUCUGACCUCGAACUAAAAACUGAAUUCUGUUGUUCUUGGACAAUGAGAGACUGAAUAUCUGUACUUGAGAUCCAGCCAUACUCGAUCAACAAGUCAUCACGUCGCCAGGAGGAUUUACAUCUCAAGACAAAUAGUGACAUCAAAGCUCGGAAUCCUCAAGAGGCCGAAGCACUUCAUUUAAAGUUAAGAAGAUUUAGAUCAAAAGGUUAGAGAGAGAGAAACACACACACACACACACACACUCAAAGGACGACCCUCUGGAGGAAAAAAAGAAAUCACGUCCUUCACAGUGCUAAGCUCUACAAGUUCACUGCCACGGCAGGACACAGUCUGUUCCUUCACAGCCUCAGAGAGAUGAAAGGGAAGAUUGUCCGCUCGCUUUGAUUCAGACUCGGCCAAACGAAGUCCAAAGAAUUCCUGGCAAAGUUUGUUUUCUGAAAUCUCAAAGUUCUUCAGUAAACUCCCUCUCCCCACACCAGCCCGCCCAUCCUCUCUCCUCUCAUCACUCUAUUCAAAGCGAGGGAGCAUUUGUACAGUAUCGAUUGUCAAUUAGUUGUAUUUAAUUAUUGACUUGUUUCCCAGACCUCCUCGAGUAGUCUGCAAACUGUAAACACUUGGUGGAGAUUUGACAAAGAAUGUGAAAUGAAAAGCAUGAAGCAGCCCGAGAGAUCCUUCGUGUGAUUUGUUUAGAUGAAAAAUAUGGGAUGCAGUUAGGGAGCUUCUUUGUGACUAAAAUUCCUUAAUAAAUUGUAUUAGUAGGGACCAAAUCAGAAUAAAGGUCAGCAUUAAUGAACGGAAUGGUUUCAAUUCAAUUCAUUUUAUUACAAAAAAUGAAAAAACCCUUCCAUGAGGAAGAAAGGGAAGAAACCUUUGGGAGAACAUCUCCAUGUGUACAGAAUUAACAAUGUGAAAGAUGUAAAAUACAGUACAGAGGUCACCGAAUUUAGAUGAACAUCCAGAUUCUAAUUGCAGGCACCAGGUAUGAAUGGGGUCAAAAAGUUUUAGAUAUUCAUUGCAAUUCCGUGGUGCAUAGGGCUGUUAAAUGAAAGAUCAUUCAUAGCACUAAUACAACAAUACUGAAUGCAUGUUUCCACUCUGGAGAGGAUUUCUGAGGAGCCAACGUGUGUUUGAAUGAACACAUGUUGUGGAAAGUUUGGGUUCAAUAUGGUUUGAUGAUGGCUCUGGAGAGAAUCACGCAUUUCUGAAAUUCCAGAGCUUUAGAUCAGUCUGACAAGAGUAACUGUUUGAAAUAAAUCUCUCAAAUAACUUUCCAUGAGAAAAGCCGAAAACCAAAAGGAUUGGAUUUAAAGUUCUUCCUCUGAUGUGCAGCUCAAAGUGACUCAAUGCGAAAGACUUUCUGAAUUAACUUCAGAGGAAAACAGCAAGUAAACAAUAACAGGGAACAAUAUUUAAUCACAUGCGUUUGCUUGUAUGCAUGCCUGCACAUCAGAGGAGCUGCUCCCUCUAUAGUGGUGGAUGAUGCAAACUUCAAAUGCAGAUCACUUUAAUUGACACGGUGCUUCAUCUUCAAACUACUGUUGACAAUCCCCAAUUCGUGAGCGUAAUAAUUACAUAAAUAACACAUAUGAAAGGCGCAUGUGAGUCGGCGGAGGGGCUGAAACCGCUUCAUCAGAGAGAACACAGCUCGCUGUGAUCAGAGUCUCUAACCGACUCGCACCGUUAGAUGGAGACGGGUGAGAUUACGCUAAAGUGGUUUCAUGAUAUAUCUGCAGCUCUACAAUGCAAAAUCAUAUAUAUAUAUUUAUGUGUGGUAAUUAACAGGCAAACAACGUUUUCCAUGUCAGCUUUGCAUAUGAUGAUGUCAUCAACUUUUCUGAGCCACUGAGGAUAUAAAUAAACAAGUCAGGACCUACAAAAAACGAGAUGAACCAGUAAGUUGAACCUGUGAGAGACAGCAGAUUGUUCUGCAACUCGUCUCGAAAACGUGGGAGUGUUUUUGAAAAGGCACGCGUGAGUUGGGCGUGUCCUGUGGUAUUUAUAUUAGCAGAAAACAGCCCUUUGCUCCAACUUUGGAUCGACUCCUGGCAAACUCUCACUGCUCUUAAAUCUCUCUAAGCACACAGACAGGAGCCGAAAAAAAGGCAAGCACAUCAACAUGGUGGCUUUGACGGUGAUGAUUACCAGCCAAUUCCCUGAAUUAUAGGGGUUUGCAACCAAUGAGCUCCAUCUUGUUUAGAGACGGACAUGUUAGAGUUGCGAAGCAGUAAACUAAAGUAGGGAUUUUAUACUUUAGACGAGGGGGGCAGCGGAGGCUGAAAGAGACACGGGACUUGAUGGAUGGCAUGAGGAGGCAACAUGUGGAGUCACUUUUGUGGGAAAAUAAAACAGAACAGUCAUGAAAGAUUAAUCAAUAUUAGAACAUGUGUCAAAGACGUGCUCUAAAACAAUGCAGAUUAUAAUGGUAUUUAAAACCUCAUGUGAGAAUUGUUUUACUUCAAAAUCAGUUUGAUUUCAAUGUUUUGCAGCAAGGAUUGUUUGCAUCCUGCCGCACUGCAACCAUGCAGCCACAAACGCAAUUGUUUUUUCGAGCACGUACGCUCUCAUAAAACCCUGUAAAGUUAAACUAACACAUGGCUAAUAAGGAACCAGAGUUAACUGGGUUCCCCUUAACGUCUUUAAACUGAUAAAGAAAACCUGGUGUGCCUUUUACAUCCUCCAAAAAGCCUAAUGGUAUACUGUAUGUAACUGCAGAGAGAGAAAACCUCCUGCAUGGAUGAGCCUACAAGUCGCCCCCCCCAACAACACCCCUGCUCCAUCGUCCAACAUGUCUGGCGCCCUCUUGUCUUUGUUUUGACAGGAGAAGUCUACCCUGAGUCUGUGGUGUCUUGUCAGGGCGACUGCCCAUGCGGGUCCGCAGUGUUUGACAGCGGUCUUUGCUUUUCUCCUUCUGCCCUGCCUUCCUGUUCUGCUCUGGUGAUUCUGCUCUUGACAAAUGUUCUGGUCACUUAGGCUAAUGUUAAUUUUCUUUUGUGCGUUAGGGUAAAAAGGAGAAGGAGCAAAAUAAAAGAAGAAAAAAGGGUGAGGAUUCACAACGUAUAAACACAGAAGGAGACAUUAGGAGAGUGAAAUAAAGUAUGGUCAAAUGUGUCCUUUAAAGUUGAAUUAAUUUAAGAAAAAUCUGGGAUUUUCCUGAAACCAAAACUGCGUGUGUUGUGUGUUCUUCUGUAUUGGGAAUGGCUUCAUCUUUCUCUGGGCUGGCGUGAUGUAUGUUGGAGUGCAAUGAACAUUGAAAUGUUCAUCCCCUCACUGAGCAACACCUUUUUUCAUUGGUUUGAUUACUCUCCACUGUAUCAUGCUCCCCUUAUACUGUGCGCCUUUAAGGUAUUGAAACUUAACUGAAAAGGUGAGUGCGAAAAGUGGUUGGUGGCAGGUUCCUUUUUCAGAACGGCAGGUUCCAGCGGUCGGUGGCAGGUUCCUUUUUCAGAAUGGCAGGUUCCAGCGGUCGGUGGCAGGUUCCUUUUUCGGAACGGCAGGUUCCAGCGGUCAGUGGCAGGUUCCUUUUUCGGAACGGCAGCUUGCGGUGAUUGUUCCUCUGGUGGUCGGCGGCAGGUUCCUUUUUCAGAACGGCAAGUUCCAGCGGGCGGCGGCAGGUUCCUUUUUCGGAACGGCAGCUUGCGGUGGAAGGUUCCUCCGGUGGUCGAUGGUAGGAUCCUUUUUCAGAACGGCACAAUCCGAUCUCAGUUGGGUAUUAAGCGACAUGCAAAUUCUAUGUAACGUUAAAUGAGAGAAAAAAAAGGCCGACCAUCUCUUUGACUUUAAACAGACCUCUAUUGAAAGUAAGAUCAAUUAAAUAUGGAAUUUCAGUCAAGCUGCUGUUCUGAAAAAGGAACCUGCACCGACCACUUUUCGCACUCGGCGCCACUGUUCUGACACAUCAUGAUAGAAAUAGAGACGACAAACAACAUGGUAGUCAUUACUGGUCAGAAUGUCCAAGUCAAAUGUACUUGAUGUUGCAGGAAAUCUUCAGGAAUGCUUCACAAACAGGAGGUGGGCUCUGUUCUCACAGAACAAAUGGCGAUGGAAGGUGCUGAAAGUCAAAAGACGCCUGGAAAAGGAUUACUGACAUGUUUCAUUUGUUGAGCGGUAUUGAAAAAAUACCCAUGUGUGGUAUGAUUACUGGAGGGAGGGGCGGGUCAACAACUCUCUGACAGGGAGAAACACAGUUGCUGGGAAAUGAGUGUCAUUUUGAGAAAGGCAAACACAAAUACCAUCACGUAUGUGUACUGUAAUGUUUAACCAGCUCAUGAUAUCAGGUUGGUUUUGCAUCUAUAGAUUCCUUAAAUGUGUGAGUUACUCUGUGAUUUAAAUGUUUGACAGUAAAAUGUCAUUGCUGUCUCAACGAGAUAUUAAAAACAGUGGGAUUUAUUGUCUGUAGUGAUUUGUACAUCUCAACUUUAAAUCAUUUAAUGAUUCAAACAUCCCCAUGAGCGUCUUCUUCUUUGACGACUACCUUAAACCAGGACAUGCAACCUAAAAAUAUGCUUCUGUGGAAUUAAUUUCCAUCUGACAAAGCAACCCACUCAAAGACGCCUUGGCUAAGAGGCAUCUAACAAGACUUAUAAUAUAUAAGAACAUACACAUGUACAUAUAAGAUGGUACUUAGAUUCAAAUAUCUUCCCGCUUGUCCCAGUGGGAAGCUUUUUAUGCACCCAAAUGUGCUCCGAUAUCAAACGCAUCUGUUGAGCAAAGUCUUGCCAAGCCCAAGCCAGGUGAAGAAGAGUAAUUAUACUUUGCAUUCUUAUCAUUGUUUGAAGCUGGCAAAAGGACGAAUAAUACACUUCAGAAAGAAGGAAAAGUGUUUUAAGCUCUUCUGAUUAAAAACCAAUUGACAGCUGUGUUUAUAAUUAAUCAAAACAAUUUGUCUUUCCCUCUAUAGUUGCUGGCACAUAAACGUCUUUGGCAAAAGGUUGACAUUGUAAUGAGUGUGUGUUCUGCAGUCGCUGACAGUUUUGCAAAUGUUCUUUCUUCAUAGAUGCUGCUUUGGUAUUCCUAACAAAAGCCACAUCGCAGCCUGUGGCUUUCCCAGCAAGUGCCGUACAACACGUUUAGCAGUGGACACAAUUAAUGGGCUUGCCUCUUUUGCAUGCGGCUAAAGUGAUUUAAGCCAUGGCAGGUGCCUCGGAGCCCAAAGAGUCGCCGCACAAAGAGCGCCGCUGUCCGGGCUUUGUAGACAGGAUAUCCACAGAUGUGGAGCCAGACCAGAUGGCAUGUACAUCUGAGACAGAGGGAGAAGCGGGACACAGAGGGAUAAAGACACACAGAGUUGAAGGGGGACAAGGACAAGGGCCAGACACAGGCCCGCAUUAAGCGGUGCGAGCCUGGCCAUAUGCGCCUGACAUUUAGCCGGCACCCAGCUCUCCAUUGACUCGCUCUGCGUAGCUCCAAACAUGCCUGCAGGCCACAGAGGACAAUGGCUGCCUUCUCCUUUAACCAGCAUCAAAAGGGGAGAUGAAAACGGCCACGCGAUAGAGCGCCUGUUAGAAGUGUAAAAACGCAAAUGAUGUAUACGAAUACACUGCUGUGGUGUUCCUCGUCACGAAGACCAGUCCUUUUAAACAAAUCGGCCUUGUUCAGCCUCGCCCAUCGUUUCUUAUGUGGAAUAUAAUUUGUCUGGAGAGAAAGCAAGAUAUGUGAAGAGAAGUAAUGCUCACUCUCUUUGUUCCGUUUGUGUUUUUUCACAUCUGCGUCGGUGUGGUUGCAUAACAAUGCAACAAAGGGAAUAUGACUUGAAAGUGUUAGGGCAAUUCAAAUAACUUUGUCUGCUUGUGAAACAAAGAGACAAGAGAAAGAACGAGAGAAAGACCGAGAGAGAGCAAUGGGAAUGAGUGUCACCCAAUUAAAGGUUCAGCACAGCCUAUGGGAGAGCAGGAGACAAACUAUUAGCAGGCUGCAGUUACAAAGCCACGCUUAUAGGGCACUAAUCUUGAGUGAUUAGAUGCCCUGCUAUGCCCAGCUAUGCCUUGGAAAAAGCCGAAAGAGUCAACGUUAUUUAUGCUUUUAAGCAAAAAAUAUGUCAAAAAAUUCAGUCACAAAUAUCCAAGGAAGAAUUGUAAAACAUGUUAAGUUCAGAAAAUGUCUAAAAUGGAUGUCAAAAAUAUCAGGUAAAAAAAAAUCAAAAAAUGUUUUGUCAUUAAAUGUCAAGGGAAGAAAAGUAAAAGACAAAUAUAUAAUUGUUGCAAAAAAACAGGGAAAAAACAGAAAAAUUCUAAAAUAAAAAGUAAAAAUAAAAAAUAUUAUAAAAAUAUUUUUGGCAAAAUAAGUCCAAAAGAUCCAAAGUCCAAAAGAUAUUUGGUCAGAAAAUGUAAAACAAUAUUCAGUUGAAGUCACGGGAAAAAAAGUAAUAUUUGGGCCGACAUAUUCAAAGAAUAUUUAGUCAAAAAUGUUAUGGAAAAGACUUUAAAAAGAAUUUUGCACUUUGUGGAAAAAAAGUUUAAAAUGAAUUGGUCGGAAAUUAAAAAGAAUAUUGUUCGGAAAAUGCCAUGAAGAAAAAAAUCAAAAGAUAAUAGGUUAAAAAAUGUCAAAAAGUAUUUUGGAAAAAAAAGGAUUGAAAUGAAUAGAUCAAUAUUUCAAAAACUUCCAUAUAUUCUUGCCAACGGUUAUGUGGGAAGGUGGAUACCACGCACAUGUCCAUGCACAGUAUAUACAGCACAUGGAGUUAAUGAUUAGUGGCAUAUAGCAGAAUAAAAACUCAAAAAACAAUCAUGCAUUACAUCUCAUUUGUUUAAUCUGUGCACAGUCAAAUUUGUAAAAACAUCCGUUUUCCGGAUCCGGAUAGUUUUUUGCUGUUUUUCCCCGCUUCCUGUACCAACAAAGCUUACAGAUUGUUCUUGUAUUGUGUGAAUGGAGCAUUGCUUUGUCACAUGGCCUCUAUGGCUGAACAUGUUAAAUGUUGGCACACAUUGUAUUUCUUGGUUUUACUCCAUGUGGCUGUAAAUUUGUUUGAUAAGUUUGAUUUUAGUUCCACUCAUACACACAAAUCAAGUCGGGCAAAGUCGGGCAAGUCGGGCAAAGUGUUGGCUAAAUAAAGAAACAAGGAUGAACCCACAAAGAUUGCAGCAAAGCGGAGAUAGACAUAUAAGAGAGGCUGAGAGAAAAAAAACAAGGCCGACCAUCUCUCUUUGACUUUAAACAGACUUCUAUUGAAAGUAAGAUCCAUUAAAUAUGGAAUUUCAGUCCAAUUUGUCUUCAAAAGGGGUAAAAGAGCUCAUUAUGUGGGCUCUGCUCUUUCUUCACUAUUAGAAAGAGACGUUAGUCAUGCCUGCUUAUCUCACAACCUUAUGAGCGCAGGAUUAAAAGAUCAAAGGCUGACUUCGGUUUAAUAUUAUAGGAAAUGUAAGCUCCUUUUUUCUGAUGCGCUUUGGACUGUGCCUUUUUAUCCCCUCUCAAUACUCAGAUCAAAAUGACGAAAACUCAAUAAUUUCUUUCGCUGUCCAUUUUGAAAUGUAUGCCCGCACCUCUCAUAUCCAGGGUGAGUGGUGGGGUGGGGGGGGGGUGUAAGCGGGUACUGAUCUAUUUCAAAGUGGACCCUUUAAGACCUUCAAUUCAAUUCCCCCGUAGCAGAGUUCUCUGAAGUACAUUAGGCUGAGUACAGAGACGUUCACUCUGUCCGGACACAUACUUCUGACUUAAUGAAAAUAUUCUGUAGCCACUCAAUUAUACACUUGAAGGUUUAGGGGCUGGAGAGUGAUGCAAACACAAUGGCUCACAAAGGGCGAUGCUGGGAACUCUCAGUUCUCAGUACCAGUGGAGCAGUCUAACGAGGAUGUGCGUUUCUGGCACAAACUUCAGAGAGCGAAACCAGUCUGGUCGCCUCGUGCUCAUUAUUCCCCAAAGAGAAUCUACGCUACACAAAAUAAGAGAGGACACUGAAUUGCAGCACUGCAAUUAAGUCAUUUAUUUUGCUAUCCUGAAAAUGAGAUGUGGCAUCCUAAGGGGCAAGGUAAUAGAGGGCCACAGCAUCCCUGCGCAAAAUAGGUACAAGAUGGCCGCCACUGACACUGCAUUUCCCAGAAGGCCUCAACAAUCCCACAGCUGUAGGUGUUUAAGGCACCCAAUUGAGGCCGGGCUGGGGACCAACACCUGGCUGGAAGGAAAAGCGAACAGCAGACUGGGAACCGGCCCUACAUGGAGGAGCCCAGAACAAGGAAAAGCCUGGGAAGUCGACUGGAAGUUUUUUGGUUAAGGAACUUUUUUUGUCCUCGGGACCCUUUUAUUGGUAAUGGACAUUCAACACCCCAAACGAUAUGAAAUAUGAAAUUUCAUUUAUCAAACUAAUUUGUUUUGAUACAGUUUAAUAUGUUUUUUACUGACCCUAUGCAACAAUCUUCCCCAUUGGGAUUAAACAAGGCCAAAAAUAACAAGCACACUACUCAACUACCAUACAAGCAUGAGAUGUAAUCCAAGUGAAUAAGUUCAUUGAAGGAUUCUCUUCUGUCAGAAAUAAUAACUGCUGGUCUACAGAGACGCUGGAAGAAGACUACAAUUCAAAAUCAUUUAUUUAUCCACUUCUAGCAGAAUUAAAACACCUUUGUUUUUGCGCGCCAGCAUCUACACGGUUCUUUGAAUGUUUUUUUAAGUGAACGCCCCUAUUAACCCCGUGGGACUCCCUCAUCGAUGCUGUGGGUCUCAAGUGGGAGCAGCGUAAUUGUUAGCCAAGAGGAUGUCCGUCCUAAAGGAGCUGAAGAAGUUCAACCUGCAAAAGACAAUGAUGGUGAAAAGCUAGAGAGCGAUCAUUGAGUGCAUCCUGUGCUCUUCAAUCCCCAUCCAAUCCGCCGGGUAUCAUUCACACCUCAUUGCAUCUGCGGUUCAAUAAAUUCCAGUGCCUCCCCAGGACACAUUCUUACAGUUACACACCCUUGCACAGGUUUUCUCACCGGCCACUUUAUAGGUACACCUUGCUAGUAAAAGGUUGGACCCUCUUUUGCCUUCAGAUCUGCCUGGUCUUUGUGGCAUACCUUCAACAUGAGAUGAUACAAUUGACAUGAUAGCCUUGUCUGAUCGUUCUUCGAGUGCCUGAAGUGAAAACUCUUUGAACUUUUCAGAUAAGAGCUGGUGACGUCAAUGUGGAAAAUGGAAAAGAAGCUUGAUUCAGUCUUGACUGUCUAUCUUGAGCUUUAUGUGUCAGAGAGACUCUAUAAGACACCAUGAUAUCAAUGAGCAAGAAGCUUAUUUUGGGGAGCAGGUAGGUCAAACCGACAACUGAUCUGGUUGGUACUUAUAGAGAACAACAAAGUCAAGCAAUAGUGCAAAUAGAUCAUUAAAAGCAAAAAAGCGAUGCUACUCUGUCAUACAUUGGGGGUUAGACACGUUGUUUAAAUAUUGUUGUCAUAGAAAGAAAAAAAAAGUGAAAGCUCUUGGAGCGCUUUUUCGAUGAAAGGCCGGGAUGAAGGGCUACCAAUUGCCCGGCGGGGAUUUUUCUGCCAGAAAAAGACGCUAUGUGGACAGAGGCCCUGAGGCAGUUAGGAAGUACAAAAUUAUUGACAAGUGAGGAUUCCUACUUCUAAGACGUUUGUACAUUUCACUGUAGCCAAAGCGGAAAAAGAAAAAAUGCACAGAAACGCCCUUUUUUGGCCCGUUUUUAUCCUGAAAUUGAAGGAUUUAUUUUUUAAAUGUAUUUCCCAAUAAAUAAAACUAAAGUCUUUUAUUUUAGCUCUGUGCGACUGAAACCCAUAUCGUAAGUCUUCAUCAUUUAAGCUGGAUAACUGGAACGUUAUUUGCCAUUUAGCCCUAAAUCGGAUCCGUCACCACCUUCUGUCGUAGCUACUGACCUUUCGGUCCCGUUGAUGUGGGAAAGAAGCAUACUCUCUUCCUCUCUGGUCUCAGAUAGAUACACUUGGAGCCAUUAAGAUCCCUCCAGUCCCUUCCAGUGCCUCACAUCUGGACUCCUCUGGGAGAGCAGACAUACCAACAAAAGCCUGCGGACCAGAAGUGCAGAGAAGAAUCAGGGGCUGUUGAGGUCUCAACAUCACAAGCAUUUGUUUACCCUCAUCCACGUACACGUAUCGGUGCUCUGUCUUGUGGAGUUUUCGUGGGUUGUCUCAUCUUGAUCCUAAACGGAAAAUAGCUGGACAGCAGGCUGCUCAUGCAGCAGGUUCAGUAAGUCUGUCUGCUCGGGGGGGGGGGGGGCGUCCCGCAGGCCAUGGUGUGAGUGAGCGGAGGAAGAGCAGAGGGACAGGCAUGGCUGGAGAUCAUUAGAGCUUGUUAGUGUCCCCGCUGCCCAGGGCUUGGGGCGGGGGGCCUCCGUUUUGGGGAACCUCCGUUUUUGGGGAACCUUUCCUCGGGCAUGAACAGGGUAGCGUCGGUGGUGGGGGGGGGGGGCCUCUUACUUCCAGUACAACAUACCCCAGAGACGUCCCAGCAGAUUCUGCAGGUCUGACUUUCAUCUGCCUCGCUCCCAAAGGCCAUUAGGCAGUUUAGCUGGGAAACGGCUGCUAAAAUAUACAUCUCUCGUCAGUCUGCGCGCCGCCGCCAGUCGCUUCAAUAUUUAAAUCAUCAGCCCUGCACACGCGUUUGAUGUCAGCUCUUAAGGAGCUCCGUCUCGAACGCUGACAGGCCCGUGGACGGAGCGGCUGUUUACCGUCGCCGACGGAAAGCGCUGCCUUCCGUUGUUUCGUCACACGUCGAUAAAGAUCCAACGAGACUGCUUUGUUUAAACGACUGCGCAAAGGGCUCGGAGCGAUGCGCGCCUCAGCUAGUCUGUCUCACUCUUUCAGCGAUUUCUGAUGACACUUUUGCCAAUACGGGAGUUCUGUCGGAAUCAAAAGAGUCUGUGCCGCAUAUUUCCAUUGACGCAAAUCGGUUGGAACCUCUCGGAUUAUAUCACAGUGCCAAUAUUCAUUUUGGUCGGGGCAGGAGGUCCUGCGCACAGAGUAUUUCAAUUUUGCACAUGUGUUGAAGGUAACUGUGAGAACUAUGAAAUAGGCAUGGGAGGUAAUGUCGGGUUUUAUCUCGACAUUUGGCACAUGCAGGGCUUCUACGGAAAAAUAAGGUUGAUCAUUCCUUGCAAUGUGUUGUUUUGUAAGAACAAAGGGGAACAUCAUAUCCAACCUUUAAUCUGACUUGAAGCCAAUGUGUCGAGCUAUUCUUCCUCUCAUGGUUGCAUGUCAACGUUCAUCAUGUCGCAAUCACGCGAGCGGCGGAUUCAUGAGGCUGCGCUGCACGUGUUCACAUUUGGAUGCGCAUGCAAAUAGAUGCUCAUUUAUUGAGUGGCCUCCAAUCCCUUAGAUUCUGACAUUCAACAUGCAACCCGUCGCGCCCUCCCCCCCCCACCCCCGCACUGAUCUGCUGUUUUACACUAUACGACCUUUGACCCAUGGCAACGUGAACCUUUAAAUCUGCCAUUUUCCAAUCUGCCAAGUUAUCAGCAGGGGGUCGUACCCACCUCAGUUCUUCACGAGCUCCCUGCAGCUCGUAUAGAAACGAUGACAUCUUUAAAUCGCUACGGAGGAAAUGUUUGCAGGCCUGCAUCAUCGCACAAACCGUUAACACACACCGCCAUAUGCCAUUUGAUGUCCGCUCUUAUCCAACCAGCUGCCUAUUAACAUAUCACAUGUCAUGUGGGGGAUCAUUUUAAUCUCAACAGCUGUAUAUCAGCAUGAGCACAUAGAUUUUUGAUAUAAGUGCUCCCAGUUGUUGUUAACCCCUGCAGCGUUCGUACCGCAGCUGCGGGAUCUUUAGGAAUGAAACCUUUUUGCUAGCAUUUCAUGCAUGGGGUUGCAUGCAUUGACAUUGAAGCGCUCUGACAAAUAAAUAACUGUAAUUGAAGCGAGGGAUUAUUCAUCUUUGCUCCAGUGAGUACUUUUAGCCAAAUCCCCUCUAGCGUCCCUAAACGCUAAAAAGAAAAAGAGACGGGAAUUUGUCCCCAGACCGGUUUGCCGUACCCACCCUCCCCAGCAGGAUCUCUCCCUCUCUGUUGCCCUCCCCUCGGAGCAAAAGGGGAAGAUUAAAACAAACGGGGCUUUAAUCAGUGGACCCCGCUCCUCUCAGCUCAGCUGCCGACAGAAGGAGUCCUCUCCGGGAAGGCUGCCUCAAAUCAAAGCUUCCUGCUCGCCACUUGCUGCUUCGCCGAUCCGUAUCACAACAACAAAACCAGCAGAAACAAUUAUUUAUUCCUUUUGAUGUGGGUUUUGAAGUUACCCCACCUCUUCCACUAUGCCCCCCCCCUCCACCCUCCACCCUCCCACAUCCUCCUUCCUUCCACCCCUCCUCUUCCUCGAGCCCCUCCAGCUUUCUGUAUCUUUUACUCCCAAGGAAACAAGGUCAUGCCAGCUCCUCCGUAAAAGUAGGCUGCUUUAAAAGGAGUUCCAGAAUCAGCGUCUCUCUCUUAUUUUACACCAGCGAAAGUCUCGUCGCGUGAGUCAAAGCUGAUCGGGUCGCUUCAUUCCCCCACUGAGCUCGCUGGGUUGUGAAUGUCACUUUCACGGUGUGAUGUUCUGCACAUUACUGAAAGUGGAACGGAACUUGUUUCGUGGCAUAAUGCGAUUAUUCACAGUUUCUUAGUUUCCCUGAAACAAACUGUAAAAGAGCCUAAAAGGAAAUUCCGGAUAACUUGUUCAUUUUGCUACUGUUCAUUGUGAUGAUAUUUAACAUUUUUGGGGUGAUACUUUUGGUAUUUUGAAAUAUGUAUAGAAAUCCCUUUUGGCUGUGCAACCUUGCAACGCCUGUUGUUUGACGUGUUGGGUGGGGGGGACCUCACAGGGGCUCACAGAUCAGAAAAGUGCUGCUGCCACACCGCCGCUGAUCCCAGUAAACCUCCUCUUCCAGUUGAAAACCAUCUCUCAGUGGGAGGGAAGUAUGUGAGAACGACUUUUGGACUCAAAACACCACAACAUGUGCUAAAGCUGUUGGAUCAGUCUGCAGCCUCAUCAAACGGCAUAGCGGGGAGAAAACUCCUCGAACAGAUGGUAGUCAUGUUUUUAUCAUAUGCUGAAAGUUGUGAUCCUCUGUAUGUAUUGAAUGGUGGGGGUAUAUAUAUAUAUAUAUAAUGUAUUAUAUUCAAAUAAUGAGGUUAUACUUUCAUGGAAUUCAUUUUCCUUUUAAGAGAAAUCGCUGCACUAUUAUUGCUCCAAGUUGACAACAAAAUGUGCACAGAAGCCACCAGUUUGCAGUCGGUUCGGUGAUGACAAGCAAGCCGAACAGCUUGAGGCAUUUUGGACUCCCUCCGGGGCAAUUAGCUGCACUCAGGGUAGACAGGCUCCUGUUUCUUACUUAUAUUAAUUAUCACGGCGUUAACAGGAGAGCUGGAGUUACGGUUACAGCCUGACUGUUUGGACCGCACUUCCUUCGUGGCUGCAGGUUGAAAAAUAGUGUGAUACAGAAAUUGGGGGGGUUGUUUCAAUUAAAACAUCUCAACUUCACUCUGGGAGUACGUUUGUGCCCACACAUUUUUUUACCAUGCUCAAUUAUUGCUCUGAAUGGUGGUAAUGAUCUUGUGAAGCAUUUCAUUUUCCAUUUUACAGGUCUCUUUAAUUGGCCUCCUUGUCAAGCUUUUUGGGGGGGAGGAGGUGGGGAGUUAUCCUUCAAUUAAAGUCACCUAAUUACACAACUCAAAUGCCUCUUGUGUCCCCAGAAGGGGGUGGGGAGGAUAGGAACCUGGCAGAGCAACAGCAGCUGACACGCACACAUUUUGUGCUGCCUCAUCUGAAAACCAGCUUUGUGGACACAUCCCUCAUCUGCAGAGGAUUUAGUACCAGACACAGCGGUGCUUUCAACAUCAACAUGCUGCUAACAUGUUUGUGAUAAGCAGGCACAAUGUUUACCACGCUCACAACUUAAUUCAAUGCGAUAGCGGGCUAAUAUUUGCUUAUCAAUUCCUGUUGAGGCGCUGAACUUUGGCAGACUUUCUACCAAAUAAAUGCACAAAAGAUUCCACUCUAAUAUAAGAAGCAGGGACAUUUGAAGCAGUUCAUGUUGAAAAGAAUCAGUACUGGCAGGCAAGGUUAAUUGCAGAUGUGUCACCACAAAAGAAGAAAAUCCUGUAUGGGUGCAAAAGCAGUCUGACAAAUACAACAUUGCUCGAAUCCACAAACAGGAUUUUUAUAAAACUUGUACUGUAUUGAUCGUACAGUUGUGAAUGUAUUUGAUAGGAGUGGAAUUGGGCUGCUUUAAGUUUCAGGACAUGGUUUGUUGUCUCUUUUUCAAGCUACACACCUCUGUGAUAUGGUUUUACAUGCUAAAAAGGUUGUAUAACACAGUGUUGUGUGUAUUCCUAUACGAGCUAUGACCAGCUUUGACGUUCCUACACAGUCCAGCUUGUCAGAAAUGACAGGCAAAUGGAGAGUGGAACCGGUAACCCGGAGAGCAGCUAACAAAUCCCCCGGCUCAGGAUACGAGCUGCAGGGUGUGCAGACCAUGACUGAUACACCCUCACUUCCCUGAACCCGUUCGUAGGGAUCUGUCAUCAGAUUCCACAUCACGCAGUGUCAGGCUUGUGCAGUAAACUGAUGCUGUAACUAAGGACGGCAGCCGUUUUCUUUCUUUCCAGCCAGUGAUAAUAAUAAUUGUUUGACUGUGUGUUUGAGCUAAAUGCUUUAUAUCGUCUUUUCUCUGCAACAUUAAAGAACACGUAUGGCUUUUGAUAUCGGUGCAGUCGGGCAUCGGUGCUGCGAAGGAGGAGAAGUGAACCUGCGGCGCACCGAGACGCCGACAAAAAGGCAAGAAUUGAUUAGUCCAAAUGAAGGGAUGAGGCUCCUUCUGCGGGGCUGGAGAUGAAUGCGGCAGAGUGUGACAAAGAACCAAGUUCCUCUGAUUAACGCCGUGGCUGUCAGCGAGCGCCAGGCCUGACUGGCACAUCAAAGACGCCAAAAGACACAAGGGACAGUUUGGCAUCUUCAUUUCCUCCAUCGUCGCUACUGACCCCAUCCUCAGCGCUGACCAUUUCGUCUGGAAUUGAGUCACGCUCAGUGGGGGGGGGGGGGGCUUUGAAAAUAACUCUUUGUCAGUGUGUUGCUGUUUUUCGGGGAACACAAAAAGGUAGAUCUGUAGAUUCCUUCCAUGAAAAAGAAAGACGAGGGGAAAAAAGGCCAGCCUACCCGAAGUUCUCGUAUCUCUCUUUCUUACCUCGAUGUGCAGUCUGCGCCUGCGAUCCCUUUAUCUGCCUUUCAUUAGCGCGCCGCUCGCCCUCUUCCCAGGGCGCGUGUCUGGUAGACAGUCACUUUCUCGCGGCCUGUGAUGUUUCUGCAGAUUACAGAGGGCCUUUGAAGCCGCCGCACUCCUCAUUGCCGGGGCCUCAGAACGGGCCCCCGCCCAUCUGUCACAUCGACGGCAAAGUAGCGGAAUGGGGCCGAGGCAGACACCCUCUGCCGAGCCACACUUUUGUCUUUUAUGUGUCACAUUUGGGUGUCGCGUGAAAGCCACCUCUUUGUAAUCAUCCGCCGGGACCCGCCUGGAAGACUGGGCUCCGUAGCAUGCAAACACACACACACACACACGCACACACGCACACGCCCGCACACACACAGGGGAGGGGAGGAAAAUGGUCCUCCGUAAUUGCUCUUACCCGUGGGCAUCAGUCUUGAAAUGAGACAAUUAUCGGCAUCACCUCGCAGCCUUCUGUGGUUUCCUCCCACUUCUCCAUGGCCCUGGAAAUCACCGCCAUGCUGGUCUUUGAUACCUAUAACCAGUGGGAAGGAUUUGAUUGUUCCUGCGCGUUAGGAGACGGUUGCAGGCUGAACGAACCUGAAUGACAGCCAGCCGCCAGUAACUCGGGGGUUACUUCACAGAAGAAGGUUUUCACAGAUAAAUAUAAACUGAAAAUUCUUUCAACCACUGGUUCUCAAAACACAGGUCUGAUUUUGAAAACUUUUAUUUAGGCUUUUUCCGAUCCUUUACCACCGGCCUUCCCUUACUGUCACCUGUGUUAACACUACAUAGUGUAAUUUAUGACAACAAUGACACCUCUCACAUAACUGGUUAGACUCAACCGGCUCAACUAGCUGGUUGAUGCCGUCUCCAGCUGACUUGUUUUAAAACUAGAAUCCUUUAAAGAGGUAUUGCAUAUGACCUCGAUGGCUACAUACUAUAUUUUGCAGAUCUUUGAAAAAUGUUAUUGAACAAAUGUUGCAACCUGCCUGUGUGAUGAGUGAUGAGGUAAAAUAUUUGCAGCGAAAAAAGCUCUUAGGCUUCUUAGCUUACAUUCUCGGACAAGCAGGAGAGAAGUUAGAUUUGAGCUUCAUUGCUCAAGUUUAAAGAAGGAGGGUCCCUGAUAAAAAAAAAAAGAGAUCACAGGCAGCGCGUUUCCACCUCUAACGGUGCCUCUCCCUGUGUCGAGAUGAUAAACUCGUCGAGCUUGAGCGUUCCCCCAGGGCCUUCCUUUGGGUCGGGAUGGUCACAAAGCUUUAACACUUCUCCCCAUGUGUAUUUUCCCCCCCACAGGACGAGGACAUCAGUGAGCAGUCACCCACCCCCCCCCCCCCACCACCUUAUCCUGUCACGCAAACACACAAAUGUAUGACGCAUGUGAGCGUUUGUGUGCGCCAUGAAAAAUAAACACAGACGACUCCAAACGCACAUCCCCCGUUGAGUCACAUCAGACCAGCUCCCCUUAAAAAACAUCCUCCUUUAUAACGGGCUUCCCGAAACGGAAUAAUGCAUAAAGCAGAGGGCGACGUUAAACUACAAAAACAUUAAGGAAGCCCAAUGAAAUAUGCAUUAGAGUAAGUGGAUCAGAGAAGCUCAAAAUCCGCAUUCUAACAUAAUAUUCAUACGGUAUGAACACAAGUGAGUAUACAUUGUAACUGCAUAGUGUGCAGACUGUGUCUCCCCCUAAAAAGCACCGGGUCUUUUUAGAGCCUGCAACACCACAUGUACAAAUUUGGAAAAACCAAGACAUCAAAUCAUUCAGUGAUGCUGAAAAUGUAAUAAAAGGGAAACGCGCCGUGGCAAAAACCACACGCCGCAUACAAGGGUCUCUUAUCGUAUCUCCUAAAACUACUUUAGGAGCCUAGAACUACGGUGGCCUUCAGGUAGCGUGAGGACACGAAAGGCUCCACAGAGCUGUAGAAACAUGGUUGGGGCAAACAUGGCAGAUUCUGUCAAGAUCACAUGGAUACAAAACUGCUCAUUUGAAGGGUAGAAGUAGACUAAUUAAAACACGUUUAUGAUAAUUAUACUUCAUUUUUGUGAAUAGAUCCCCAAAAUACUACACACUACUUUAAGACGUGGAAGUAUUGGGGUUUUUUUUUCUGCAGCCCCACGCCGGCGAGGAGCCUCAUCCACGGACCUGGGUGGGAUGCCGGAGGAAGACGGGACUGGUGGCGAGCUGUAAACAUUGAUAACCAUAGCGAUGCACAUAAAAAAAAUUAAGCGUUUGGUUGCAGAUAAAAAUAGAGUCACCAUACACAUUAUGCUUUGACGGCGCUGAGUCUCUGAUGCUGAAAGAUGUGGCGCUGACAGGCUGGCAGGCGAGAGAGAGACACUGAGGCAGAAUGAUUGGCUUCUCCUCUUUGAUGUUCCCGUCUGACUCACUCGUGGCGGCUGGUUACAUCUUCAAAACCGUUCUGCGUCGACAGUUGUAAUGACCCCAAACAUUUCAUCUGUCAUAUCUGAACAGCGUUGUGACAACUUCGAGUGAAAAGAAUAUACUUCUGUGACCAAACUUUGUGCGAUGUUCUUAUAUCUUUCCACAAAAGGAGAGAAGUUAUUAAUUUGCAUUCGCCACAGGCUUUAAAUUUGAUGUAAUUACCCAAAGUUACUUCCGAUUUGAAUUACAAGUUUUCUAAACAGUGAAGGAACAAAUGCAAAUGUGCAAAUAUCAAAAGAAGCAGAAGAUUUUUUUGUGCGAACGAAUUGAGUGCAAAGUUUAACUUUAAUAAAUUCUUAUUAAAGAAUAACAGUUAACUAAUGGAAAAUGACCACAGUGGCUCGGUGCAGUCAAAGGGCACAUUUUUAUUAGUCGAACCAUGUGCGAGACCGAUAACCCAUUCAAAGUCCGCCUUUGUGUGCCCAUUUGUAUUUGUAUUUUUUUGUUUAUAUGUGAAGAGACCAAACAUCCCCAUUCCAUGCAGUCCACAGGGUGGGAAGCGGUUUCACAUGGGGGUUUUUGUUGGGAUUUCUCUUUCAUGUGGAAACAGUCUCUGGGUCCCUUUAGCCUGUGUGUUGUGACAGAGGAUAAUGAAAUUCACAACAUCUGCCAUUCGUUAGGCCCUGUUUGGUGUAACCGAUCUCCUUUUUUUAAUCCGCGGACUUCCAACGUGUGAGCAGCGCCGCGGCUAGAAUGAAGGAGAUGGAUCCCACGGCCUCUGCGGGUCUGCAGCCGGCCGCCCGGAAGUGGUUUUGCAUCCGGACCUUUCUCUCCUCAGGCCCGAGAGUAAGCUCGUUCCCCCGCUGCACUCGUCCCCGACUUUCUGAAUGUGUAUUACGCGAGUGGAAAGGUACACGUGACCUUGUGGGAUUUGCUCCUAUUAGGAAAGUAGAGACACUUGAUUGAAGGCCACCACGUGUAGGAUUUGAAUGUUAUACUUUGGCGCCAGCAGGUGGUAGUGUUAAAACAAACAACUCAGGGGACAAUAUCUGUUCAACAAGAUAAAAGACAUGCAUUCUAAAUGUAAGCAGAAAGAAUUAUUCAGUGCAAUUUUUAAGCUACAAUAAUCAAUACCUGUUGGCAAAAGGGUCAGUCAUAGUGUCCUGGAAAAAAAAAUGUGAGUCCACUAAAAGUAAAAGUAAGUAAGUUUGUCCACUAAUUAAUUAAUUGAUCUUUGAAACACAAAAGCGGCACUUCAAAUCUUCUGUCUACCUGAGAUGUUCUUGUACUUUUCUAAGAAACAUGAAGCAUGAACAACUGAUCGCCUGAAGAUUUCUUACAUGAAAACUGAAAGCAAUUUCAGCUAAUUUAUGAAUAAUAGUGGGCGGGCCAUUGGCCCGAUUAGCACCCUCUGUGCUACAUCUCGGCUCUUUUUAACAUUUUUUGUAUGUUUCGGCUCAUCUUUUGGUUCUGGUCCACAACUUCCGUGUCCGUUCACGCUUGCUGUUCCCAUUAGCUUCAUUUUAAAAUACACCCGCUAGACGGCUUCCCAGCACCAAACAGCAGAGAGGCACGCUUAGCGACCAGUUGGCGAACACAGUGGAGCAUUUAGCAUGUACAGAGAUCAUGGUUGGUAGAGACCAAAAAUUAGUGUGAAUUCUUCAGGUGGACGGAAAAAACGUCUCCAAAUGUCGCUCCAUAUUUUCCCGAGGUUUAAAGAAGAACUCUUCAGGUGAUUUCACAAACUUGGGGAUGUAUAAAGAUCAAUGAUACAGAUCACAGCAUGUUAUUUUGACCGAGACAAAAAGGUUUCCUUAAAGAAUGUGCAAGACUGAAAAAGAAGAAAAAAACUUUCAUUGGAUUGCACAAGAGUCCAAACGAGCAAUCACAUCGGUAUGUAAAGGGUGUAUACGGAGCUGGGAUUGCUUGACACGGACCAGGAGGUAAUUUGUUGGAGAUGGAUUUGGAGGGAAGACUCAAAACAUCAUCAGAGUGUCAGAAUCACCUCUUCAUCUGAAAGCAGCGGCUGAGAAGGUGGAUCAAAUCAAUCUUGAUUCCUUUGGUACCUCCUAUGCCCAUCAUCCACCUUCUUCAUUAAACCUGGAAUGUGCUUCAAAGAAUGCACACUUUCUUUCCUCUGUGAAUAUAAAAUCUGAUAUUCAUCAGCCGGUACAAUAUGUGCCGAUUUAACAAAGCAUGCACUGCAACGGAGGGAAGCUCCAGAGUGUACAGUGUGCCAUGGAGAAAAGCCACGACCACGUCUCAUUUGUCUCCUACAAGAGCUCA